rnacentral:sRNA from 2 species
GAAUCCGACGAACCGACAGCCAUGGCAGGAGCGGGGGACCCAGGUAAGUCGCCGGGCCGGAGCGCCGUACGUCGUCCUACGUCGUACGCCGUGCCGGAACGGCUCGGGGUGAAGCCGUGCCCUUCGGGGCGCGGCCGGGCACCUCCCCGCCCGAACCCGACAGCUCACCUCGCAGGCGACGGAGAGGAAGU